rnacentral:rRNA from 1 species
UACGGAGGGUGCAAGCGUUGUUCGGAAUUAUUGGGCGUAAAGAGCGUGUAGGCGGCAUGAUAAGUCAGGUGUGAAAGCCCUGGGCUUAACCCAGGAAGGGCACUUGAAACUGUCAUGCUUGAGUAAGGAAGGGGGAAGUGGAAUUCCUGGUGUAGAGGUGAAAUUCGUAGAUAUCAGGAGGAACACCGGUGGCGAAGGCGACUUCCUGGUCCUAUACUGACGCUGAGACGCGAGAGCGUGGGGAGCAAACAGG